CCUACGGGAGGCUGCAGUGAGGAAUAUUGGUCAAUGGACGAGAGUCUGAACCAGCCAAGUAGCGUGAAGGAUGACUGCCCUAUGGGUUGUAAACUUCUUUUAUAUGGGAAUAAAAUGUUCCACGUGUGGGAUUUUGUAUGUACCAUAUGAAUAAGGAUCGGCUAACUCCGUGCCAGCAGCCGCGGUAAUACGGAGGAUCCGAGCGUUAUCCGGGUUUAUUGGGUUUAAAGGGAGCGUAGGUGGAUUGUUAAGUCAGUUGUGAAAGUUUGCGGCUCAACCGUAAAAUUGCAGUUGAAACUGGCAGUCGUGAGUACAGUAGAGGUAGGCGGAAUUCGUGGUGUAGCGGUGAAAUGCUUAGAUAUCACGAAGAACUCCGAUUGCGAAGGCAGCUCACUGGACUGCAACUGACACUGAGGCUCGAAAGUGUGGGUAUCAAACAGGAUUAGAUACCCCUGUAGUC
rnacentral:rRNA from 1 species